AGGGCAGGUCCCCGGCAACAGUCCUCAGGGACGCUUGGCACUCACUCCUGCUUCUAUUUGCUCUCUCCUCUUCAGUAUGCACGCUGUGUCGCCGAGCAGAUGUUCACCCGGACACCUGCGGGCCCACAUUUGGCGAGAGCGGGAUUUGCGUCCACAAGUUUUGCUUGUUUUUUGCCGACGGCCUUUACGAACACACUGCCGGACAGAGGGCGGUUCUGAAGUUCCCCCUUGAUGCCAUCAGAUGCGCAAUCGAGGAGGCAGAGCAGAAGCACUGCUUUGUUUGUGGAGAGAAGGGGGCCUCCAU